UUUUGGACUGUUAUGAGAUGUUAAAGCUUCUUAAGGGACCAUAUGAUGUGAAUGGAGCGUCGAUGGUCAUCAAAGCUGAAUCCAAUGGCAAUUACCAUGAGUUAUGGGCUGAAAAACUACUGAGAAUGUACCAAAAAUGGGCUGAGAAGCAAGGUUAUUGAGGGAGGAUUGUAGAGAAGCGUCAGGCAACAAAUGGUGGAAUCACUUCUGCAACGGUUGAAUUUGAAUUUGAUUAUGCAUAUGGUUUUCUUCAAGGGGAGAGGGGUGUUCAUCGAAUGAUAAGUGGUUCAGAAACUGGAUCAACAAUUGAUGAGGUAGCCUAGCAGUUGUCGAUAUAAUUCCUCUGUUCCGUGAUUCGGCCCCUGACCUAAAAAUUAGUGAGGAGGAUUUGCUAAUCUCGUGCCCAUCGUCAUCGCCUGAAGUAAAAGUCAUUGAAGGCCGGUCUGGAGUUGUUAUUCAGCAUGUUCCUACUGGUUUUGUUGUCCAAUCUUUGGGUGAAAGGAGCAUUUUUGCAAAUAAGAUUAAGGCCCUCAACCGGUUGAAGGCUAAACUUCUUAUCGCAGCCAGAGAUGUAGGAGUUCCAGGCAUAAAUGGCUUCAAGAAGGAAAAUGUGUUCGAUGUAUGGGGAGACAAGGUCCGAAGAUAUGUUCUUUACCCUCGCAAGCAUGUGAAAGAUGUAAGAAGUGGUGUUGAAAUGCCUGACCUGUAUUAUGUUUUGGACGGUAAUAUAGAACCUCUGAUUGGAGCUCAUAUCCAGAUGAGACUCUCAAAUGACAUGCCUCCAUAGUAAAGCAGCUUUUCCCAA